UACGGGGGGAGCAAGCGUUGUUCGGAUUUACUGGGCGUAAAGGGCGCGUAGGCGGCCACCGCAAGUCGACUGUGAAAUCUCCGGGCUUAACUCGGAAAGGUCAGCCGAUACUGCGGGGCUAGAGUGCAGAAGGGGCAACUGGAAUUCUCGGUGUAGCGGUGAAAUGCGUAGAUAUCUGGAGGAACACCGGUGGCGAAGGCGGCAUCCUGGACCAACACUGACGCUGAGUGAGCGAAAGCCAGGGGAGCAAACGGG
rnacentral:rRNA from 1 species